GGGGCCCUGCCGUGUCCGUGAAGGCGGCAGUUACCGGUUUUGCCCCAACACCAGAAAAAAGGGAGCCGACUCGAGUGAGAGGGAACGCGAUAGGCUUCGGCCAAGGCGGGAACUCUCCGGAAGGCUCCCACCUGCGUAAGCAGGAGCAAAACUGGGCAGCCCACGGCACGGCGGGGUUCCG
rnacentral:other from 2 species